CCUACGUGUGGCAGCAGUGGGGACUAUUGCGCAAUGGGCGACAGCCUGACGCAGCGACGCCGCGUGAGGGAUGAAGGUCUUCGGAUCGUAAACCUCUGUCAGCAGGGAAGAACGGUCACUGUGCUAAUCAGCCGUGUAUUGACGUUAUCUGCAAAGGAAGCCCCGGCGAACUCCGUGCCAGCAGCUGCGGUAAUACGGAGGAUGGGAGCGUUAAUCGGAUGUACUGGGCGUAAAGCGCUCGUAGGCGGUAUGUCAAGUCAGGGGUGAAGGCACCUGGCUCAACGUGGGAACUGCCGUUGAAACUGGCAGACUGGAGGAUGUUAGAGGAUAGUGGAAUUCCAGGUGUAGGAGUGAAAUCCGUAGAUAUCUGGAGGAACAUCAGUGGCGAAGGCGACUAUCUGGCACAUAACUGACGCUGAGGAGCGAAAGCGUGGGGAGCAAACAGGAUUAGAUACCCGAGUAGUC
rnacentral:rRNA from 1 species